GCUGAGGUGGUGGAAUUUGGUAGACACGCAGCCUUGAGGUGGCUGUGCCCGAAAGGGUGUGGAGGUUCAAGUCCUCUCCUCAGCA
rnacentral:tRNA from 1 species